CCUACGGGAGGCAGCAGUGGGGAAUUUUCCGCAAUGGGCGAAAGCCUGACGGAGCAACGCCGCGGGAGGGAUGAAGGCCUCUGGGCUGUAAACCUCUUUUAUCAAGGAGGAAGAUCUGACGGUACUUGAUGAAUAAGCCACGGCUAAUUCCGUGCCAGCAGCCGCGGUAAUACGGGAGUGGCAAGCGUUAUCCGGAAUUAUUGGGCGUAAAGCGUCCGCAGGCGGCCCUUCAAGUCUGCUGUUAAAAAGUGGGGCUUAACUCCAUCAUGGCAGUGGAAACUGUUGGGCUUGAGUGUGGUAGGGGCAGAGGGAAUUCCCGGUGUAGCGGUGAAAUGCGUAGAUAUCGGGAAGAACACCAGUGGCGAAGGCGCUCUGCUGGGCCAUCACUGACGCUCAUGGACGAAAGCCAGGGGAGCGAAAGGGAUUAGAUACCCCUGUAGUCCUGGCCGUAAACGAUGAACACUAGGUGUCGGGGGAAUCGACCCCCUCGGUGUCG
rnacentral:rRNA from 1 species